UCAGUAGACGUGUGUACUGCACACGUACGUGUGUUGUGCGCUGUACGAUAUUAAUACGUACCUAGACGUGAUAGUGCAAACGCAGUGGUGCGGUGGACAACAUCAGUGGCGUAGCCAAGAGGGAAGGGCUGAGGGUACUACAAACCCCCCUCCUCAAAAUGUUAAGAAAAUUAUAUUGAUGGUCUGUGAAAAUCGCUAAAAAAAGUUUAUUCUGUGAAAGUGAUUGCGAAGUGUAUAAUUAUUCCUGGUUUGUCGCCGAGGGACAUAAAUGUCUCUCGUAAAUGAUAUUUAUGUCUACGAUACAGAUGGAUUUUAAAGAUUGCUACACCAACAUGUAAUGUCUGCAAGUCGAAGAUGUAGAAUUUCUUGGAGAAUCCGUAUCUGCAGAUAGAUCGUCGGUGAUCAUAUAUCGUCACCUAUAAGAUGCAAAAACGUGUUUUGUCAAGACCGUUCAAAACCCGCAGGUGUCAUGUUUUGUUCCAAGCAACCGCCCCAAAAUCGGUAAAUAACGUAAGGCGACGGAUAAUAUAAGAAAUAUACAUGCGAUUAGAUAAGCAAUUGGAAUUGAAUAGAUAAAAACGAACGUGGACGCUUAUUUAAAAAUUGAAUAGUAUUUGAUAUAAGUUUGCCGUUGGUCAUAUUAAUGAAAACUAAACGUUUUGGAGACAGUGUUCGUCUGUUGAAUUGUUUUAUACACAAUUCGAAUGGCAAAAACAGCAACGACUAAAAAUACAAUUAUUUUUAUGCAAAUGAAAACCGUUCGAACGGUUCGGGUGAACUCGAAGAAGUGGUACCGAUAUUUUUCCGUCGAUAAUUUCUACACAGCCAUCACCGUACUAUUAACUACGAUAUCAUAACGCGCGCGACGUAUCCUGUAGACGGGCUUUGCGGAUCGCGGUCGAAUCCAAUCGGAACGCGGGAUUUCGCCCGUUUCCACUAGCCAUCACGAUAUUAUAACGCUGUAACGCAUACCUACGAAAACGAUAAGAAUUCACGAUAAGAACACGCGUGGCGGAGAGAUAAAAACCUUUUGUUUUACGCGUUGACCCGCGUGCACAUGUUAUCCGGUACGCACGACGGCCGGCGACCAGGAAACCGCUGCGUACGCCCGCGACGUUCUGUUUUCACCUCGGGUGGUGCAAGUAUACGAUUAUUAUAUUACUAAUGUUUCAGUAAUAUGCCCACGGACGGACGCACGAGGUAUAAUGAUGUAUGAUAUUACGCGCGUGUUAUUAUCUCGGGUUCUUAUCAAAAACGGGAAGGAAUCGAGCGGUCCAUUAGGCGGGGUUAACUCCUCGGGUAGUGCGCGCGGCCGUUCUGAGCGAUAAAUUAUAGCGAAAACCGUCGUCCUACGUCAUGUCGUAGCGUGCUUAACCCCGUACAGGAUACGUCACACGUAUUACGAUAUCGUACGCGCGUUUAUAACGAUUAUUGUUAGCAAUACGAACGGUGACUGAAUCUUAUUCGCGGGUGUACGAGUCGUCAUCGGCGUCGCUGUGGGCGAAUGAUUUGCGAUGAAAUCGUCAGAAGGACUUGUCACGGAUAAUUGCUACCAUUAGUAAAUAUUUUAUGCAUUACAUAUUAUUUAUUAUUGUACAUAUAUA